GGUUCGUUGGUCCAGUCGGUUAAGACGCCUCCCUGUCACGGAGGAGAUCACGAGUUCGAGUCUCGUACGAACCG
rnacentral:tRNA from 2 species